GAUAUUGUGGUGUAGGAAUUUUUCGGGCUUGGAGGACGAGACCCAGAAUCGGUUCUAUCAGCAUUCGGCUGGAAUGUGCUCCAAGCUGCUCUCCAAAGCCCAAAAGGAGAGUUAGAGAAGCUUUUUGACCAACAGAAUGGGGGAAGUAUUUUCCAAAUAAGCAGAGAACAGGUGCAGGAG